rnacentral:rRNA from 1 species
UGGGGAAUCAUGGUCAAUGGGCGAAAGCCUGAACCUGCGACGCCGCGUGAGUGAUGAAGGUCGUAAGAUCGUAAAACUCUUUUCAGGGAUCUUAAAGCCUGUCUGUCAACAACAGGCAGGUCUGACUCUCCCUGGAAGAAGCCCCAGCCAACUACGUGCCAGCAGCCGCGGUAAUACGUAGGUGGCAAGCGCUAUCCGGAAUUACUGGGUGUAAAGGGAGCGAAGGCGGGAUAGCAAGUCAGUUGUGAAAACUAUGGGCUCAACCCAUAAAUUGCAGUUGAAACUGUUAUUCUUGAGUGGAGUAGAGGCAAGCGGAAUUCCGAGUGUAGCGGUGAAAUGCGUAGAUAUUCGGAGGAACACCAGUGGCGAAGGCGGCUUGCUGGGCUCUAACUGACGCUGAGGCUCGAAAGUGUGGGGAGCGAACA